rnacentral:rRNA from 1 species
UAGGGAAUCUUCCACAAUGGGCGAAAGCCUGAUGGAGCAACGCCGCGUGUGUGAUGAAGGGCUUCGGCUCGUAAAACACUGUUGUAAGAGAAGAAUGACAUUGAGAGUAACUGUUCAAUGUGUGACGGUAUCUUACCAGAAAGGAACGGCUAAAUACGUGCCAC